GAUGAACGCUGGCGGCGUGCCUAAUACAUGCAAGUCGAGCGAACAGACGAGGAGCUUGCUCCUCUGACGUUAGCGGCGGACGGGUGAGUAACACGUGGAUAACCUACCUAUAAGACUGGGAUAACUUCGGGAAACCGGAGCUAAUACCGGAUAAUAUAUUGAACCGCAUGGUUCAAUAGUGAAAGACGGUUUUGCUGUCACUUAUAGAUGGAUCCGCGCCGCAUUAGCUAGUUGGUAAGGUAACGGCUUACCAAGGCAACGAUGCGUAGCCGACCUGAGAGGGUGAUCGGCCACACUGGAACUGAGACACGGUCCAGACUCCCACGGGAGGCAGCAGUAGGGAAUCUUCCGCAAAGGGCGAAAGCCUGACGGAGCAACGCCGCGUGAGUGAUGAAGGUCUUCGGAUCGUAAAACUCUGUUAUUAGGGAAAAACAAAUGUGUAAGUAACUAUGCACGUCUUGACGGUACCUAAUCAGAAAGCCACGGCUAACUACGUG
rnacentral:rRNA from 1 species